rnacentral:tRNA from 1 species
GCAGUGAUGGUUCAGUGGCAGAAUUCUCGCCUUCCAUGUGGGAGACUUGGGUUCAAUUCCUGAUUAAUGCA